rnacentral:lncRNA from 1 species
UCAAAUCUUCCCAGCAGGGUAUCUUGUUCACGACAAAACUUCUUCCUUUCUUCUCUCACAACUUGCUCAUACUUUCCUCCUCUUCCGAAUGCCAUUGAGAUGUCGUCACCACUUCAUUCUUUACUCAUACAACUUUGAUGCAACCUCUGUUUUUCUGUUUUUUGUGAUUGUAUUGUUGCUCUUUGUGGUUGAAUAGUUAUUUUUUUGGAAGAUGAACAUUGUUUGGUUUUUGUAUUUUCUAGGUUUUGAGUUGACCAAGAUGAAUGUUUU